rnacentral:rRNA from 1 species
AAAUCGUACCCCAAACCGACACAGGUGGUCAGGUAGAGAAUACCAAGGCGCUUGAGAGAACUCGGGUGAAGGAACUAGGCAAAAUGGUGCCGUAACUUCGGGAGAAGGCACGCUGGUGUGUAGGUGAAGUCCCUGCGGAUGGAGCUGAGACCAGUCGAAGAUACCAGCUGGCUGCAACUGUUUAUUAAAAACACAGCACUGUGCAAACACGAAAGUGGACGUAUACGGUGUGACGCCUGCCCGGUGCCGGAAGGUUAAUUGAUGGGGUUAUCCGUAAGGAGAAGCUCUUGAUCGAAGCCCCGGUAAACGGCGGCCGUAACUAUAACGGUCCUAAGGUAGCGAAAUUCCUUGUCGGGUAAGUUCCGACCUGCACGAAUGGCGUAAUGAUGGCCAGGCUGUCUCCACCCGAGACUCAGUGAAAUUGAACUCGCUGUGAAGAUGCAGUGUACCCGCGGCAAGACGGAAAGACCCCGUGAACCUUUACUAUAGCUUGACACUGAACAUUGAGCCUUGAUGUGUAGGAUAGGUGGGAGGCUUUGAAGCGUGGACGCCAGUCUGCGUGGAGCCAACCUUGAAAUACCACCCUUUAAUGUUUGAUGUUCUAACGUUGGCCCCUUACCGGGGUUGCGGACAGUGUCUGGUGGGUAGUUUGACUGGGGCGGUCUCCUCCCAAAGCGUAACGGAGGAGCACGAAGGUUAGCUAAUCCUGGUCGGACAUCAGGAGGUUAGUGCAAUGGCAUAAGCUAGCUUGACUGCGAGCGUGACGGCGCGAGCAGGUGCGAAAGCAGGUCAUAGUGAUCCGGUGGUUCUGAAUGGAAGGGCCAUCGCUCAACGGAUAAAAGGUACUCCGGGGAUAACAGGCUGAUACCGCCCAAGAGUUCAUAUCGACGGCGGUGUUUGGCACCUCGAUGUCGGCUCAUCACAUCCUGGGGCUGAAGUAGGUCCCAAGGGUAUGGCUGUUCGCCAUUUAAAGUGGUACGCGAGCUGGGUUUAGAACGUCGUGAGACAGUUCGGUCCCUAUCUGCCGUGGGCGCUGGAGAAUUGAGGGGGGCUGCUCCUAGUACGAGAGGACCGGAGUGGACGCAUCACUGGUGUUCGGGUUGUCAUGCCAAUGGCACUGCCCGGUAGCUAAAUGCGGAAGAGAUAAGUGCUGAAAGCAUCUAAGCACGAAACUUGCCCCGAGAUGAGUUCUCCCUAAGACUUUAAGUCUCCUGAAGGAACGUUGAAGACGACGACGUUGAUAGGCCGGGUGUGUAAGCGCAGCGAUGCGUUGAGCUAACCGGUACUAAUGAACCGUGAGGCUUAACCUU